UUACCACAUAUCAUCGGGGGGGAAGCUUCGGUUUCCCCUGUCUGAACCCUUGUCUUUUGCGUACUAUUUGUUUCCUCGGUGGGCUUGCCUGCCGAUAGGACAACCAUUAAACCUUUUGUAAUUGCAAUCAGCGUCAGAAAAAACAUAAUAGUUACAACUUUCAACAACGGAUCUCUUGGUUCUGGCAUCGAU
rnacentral:misc_RNA from 1 species